rnacentral:tRNA from 1 species
GCUGUUGUAGCUCAGUUGGUAGAGCACCUCAUUGGUAAUGAGGAGGUCCGCAGUUCGAAUCUGCCCAACAGCU